ACGGACGAGAAGCUUGCUUCUCUGAUGUUAGCGGCGGACGGGUGAGUAACACGUGGAUAACCUACCUAUAAGACUGGGAUAACUUCGGGAAACCGGAGCUAAUACCGGAUAAUAUUUUGAACCGCAUGGUUCAAAAGUGAAAGACGGUCUUGCUGUCACUUAUAGAUGGAUCCGCGCUGCAUUAGCUAGUUGGUAAGGUAACGGCUUACCAAGGCAACGAUGCAUAGCCGACCUGAGAGGGUGAUCGGCCACACUGGAACUGAGACACGGUCCAGACUCCUACGGGAGGCAGCAGUAGGGAAUCUUCCGCAAUGGGCGAAAGCCUGACGGAGCAACGCCGCGUGAGUGAUGAAGGUCUUCGGAUCGUAAAACUCUGUUAUUAGGGAAGAACAUAUGUGUAAGUAACUGUGCACAUCUUGACGGUACCUAAUCAGAAAGCCACGGCUAACUACGUGCCAGCAGCCGCGGUAAUACGUAGGUGGCAAGCGUUAUCCGGAAUUAUUGGGCGUAAAGCGCGCGUAGGCGGUUUUUUAAGUCUGAUGUGAAAGCCCACGGCUCAACCGUGGAGGGUCAUUGGAAACUGGAAAACUUGAGUGCAGAAGAGGAAAGUGGAAUUCCAUGUGUAGCGGUGAAAUGCGCAGAGAUAUGGAGGAACACCAGUGGCGAAGGCGACUUUCUGGUCUGUAACUGACGCUGAUGUGCGAAAGCGUGGGGAUCAAACAGGAUUAGAUACCCUGGUAGUCCACGCCGUAAACGAUGAGUGCUAAGUGUUAGGGGGUUUCCGCCCCUUAGUGCUGCAGCUAACGCAUUAAGCACUCCGCCUGGGGAGUACGACCGCAAGGUUGAAACUCAAAGGAAUUGACGGGGACCCGCACAAGCGGUGGAGCAUGUGGUUUAAUUCGAAGCAACGCGAAGAACCUUACCAAAUCUUGACAUCCUUUGACAACUCUAGAGAUAGAGCCUUCCCCUUCGGGGGACAAAGUGACAGGUGGUGCAUGGUUGUCGUCAGCUCGUGUCGUGAGAUGUUGGGUUAAGUCCCGCAACGAGCGCAACCCUUAAGCUUAGUUGCCAUCAUUAAGUUGGGCACUCUAAGUUGACUGCCGGUGACAAACCGGAGGAAGGUGGGGAUGACGUCAAAUCAUCAUGCCCCUUAUGAUUUGGGCUACACACGUGCUACAAUGGACAAUACAAAGGGCAGCGAAACCGCGAGGUCAAGCAAAUCCCAUAAAGUUGUUCUCAGUUCGGAUUGUAGUCUGCAACUCGACUACAUGAAGCUGGAAUCGCUAGUAAUCGUAGAUCAGCAUGCUACGGUGAAUACGUUCCCGGGUCUUGUACACACCGCCCGUCACACCACGAGAGUUUGUAACACCCGAAGCCGGUGGAGUAACC
rnacentral:rRNA from 1 species